AUACGGAGGGUGCAAGCGUUACUCGGAAUCACUGGGCGUAUAGCGCGCGCAGGCGGCUUGAUAAGUUGGAUGUGAAAGCCUACGGCUCAACCGUAGAACUGCAUCCAAAACUGUCAGGCUAGAGUGUGGGAGAGGAAGAUGGAAUUAGUUGUGUAGGGGUAAAAUCCGUAGAGAUAACUAGGAAUACCAAAAGCGAAGGCAAUCUUCUGGAACACUACUGACGCUGAGGCGCGAAGGCGUGGGGAGCAAACAGGAUUAGAAACCCUAGUAGUCC
rnacentral:rRNA from 1 species